rnacentral:rRNA from 1 species
UGAGGAAUAUUGGUCAAUGGGCGAGAGCCUGAACCAGCCAAGUAGCGUGCAGGAAGACGGCCCUAUGGGUUGUAAACUGCUUUUAUGUGGGGAUAAAGUGCGUGACGUGUCAUGCAUUGCAGGUACCACAUGAAUAAGGACCGGCUAAUUCCGUGCCAGCAGCCGCGGUAAUACGGAAGGUCCGGGCGUUAUCCGGAUUUAUUGGGUUUAAAGGGAGCGUAGGCUGUCUAUUAAGCGUGUUGUGAAAUAUACCGGCUCAACCGGUGGCUUGCAGCGCGAACUGGUCGACUUGAGUAUGCAGGAAGUAGGCGGAAUUCAUGGUGGAGCGAUGAAAUGCUUAGAUAUCAUGACGAACUCCGAUUGCGCAGGCAGCUUACUGUAGCAUAACUGACGCUGAUGCUCGAAAGUGCGGGUAUCAAACAGG